GUGUACCACACUUUCUUUAUCCAGUCCACUGUUGAUGGGCACCUGGGUUGAUUCCAUGUCUUUGCUACUGUAAAUAGUUCUGUGAUGAACAUACAAGUGCAGGCAUCUUUUCAUAGAAUGAUUUUUUUUUUCCUUUUGGUAGAUACCCAGUAAUGGGAUUGCUGGGUUGAAGGGUAAUUCUAUUUUUAGCAAACUAGAAAUAUUUAAUGAAGUACAUGAAUGAGUGUCUUCAGAAUUGUACACAGUGAGAUCAAAUAUUUUAAUAAUGAGCUUGUUAUGUUGAAUUCUAUUCUGACCAUCACUCACUGAGAUUUUCUUUUCUUUCUUUCUUUUCUUUUCUUUCUUUUUUAAAGAGACAGAGUUUCACUAUGUUGCCCGGGCUGGUCUCAAACCCCUUGCCUCAAGUAAUCUUCCCACCUUGGGCCUCCCAAAGUGCUGGGAUUGCAGGUGUGAGCCACCACACCUGGCCCAGAUUUUCUUUAAUAUUUGUCUAAUAUCUUUCCAUCUCCCUAUAUUCAAGCUUCAUGUAAUUUUAUUUUCUGGUAAUUCUCUGAGCAUAGAGCUGGAUUUGCUAGUUUUUUUAUUUUAUGACUCAACAUGACAGUUUCUAUUUUUCAUAGAAAAGUUGAAUCUGGGCCUGUUGCUUAAUUUUCUUCUUUGUCUUUUUAAAUUUACAUUAGGACUAUGAAGUUUUAAUUGAACAGCCAUUAACAUAUAUGGUUAUAUGUUGCAUGAUGUUUCAAUCAGUGAUGGACUGCAUGUACGAUGGUGGUCCCCUAAGAUUAUAAUGCCAUGUUUUGUUUAUUAAAAUUUAUUUAAGAUUUAUUUUAUUAUUUUUAUAGAUGAGGUCUCACUCUGUUGCCCCAGCUGGGUGCAGUGGCAUGAUCAUACCUCACUAGGCUCAAGUGAUCCUCCUGCCUCAGCAUCCCUAGUAACUAGGACUACAGGCACAUGCUACCACGCCUGGCUAAUUAUUUUAAUUUUUGGUAGAGACAGGAUCUCAUUAUGUUGCCCAAGCUGGUCUUGAACUCCUGGUCUCAAGCAGUCCACCCACCUCAGCUUCCCCAAGUGCUGAGAUUACAGGCAUGAGCUGCCUGCACCUGGACUAAUACAGUAAUUUUACUGUACCUUUUCCAUGUUUAGAUACAGAGAUACCUAUUAUUGUGUUACAGUUGCCUACAGUAUUCAGUACAGUAACAUCUCUACAGGUUUAUAGCCAAGGGCAAUAGGCUCUACCAUAAAGCCUGGGUGUGUAGUAGGCUGUACCAUCUAGGUUUGUGUAAGUGCAUUCUAUGAUGUUUGCGUGACAAUGAAAUCAACUAAUUAUGAAAUCACUUAAUGAUACAUUUCUCAGAAUGUAUCUCUUUUGUUAAGUGAAACAUUACAAAAUUUAUUUUUUUGGGCACAGUGGCUCACUCCUGUAAUCCCAGCACUUUGGGAGGCCAAGGCGGGCAUGCCGAUCACGAGGUCAUCUCCUACAGGCAGUGCACAUUGACUAAGUUCAUUCCUUGCUUUUGCUGUUGUUUGCUAUUAUAAAUAGGAUUUUGUCUUCAAUUAUAUCUUCUAAAAGUUCUUUUGAUUGGUAAAAGCUAUUGAUUGCUGAAUAUUGGUUUUUGACCCCGACCGUUUGCUGUUUUCUCCUCCUAAUCAUAAUUUUUUCUUAGUUGGUUUCCAGUAAUAAAGUCAUGUUGUCUGAGGCCGGGUGCGGUGGCUCACGCCUGUAAUCCCAGCACUCUGGGAGGCUGAGGUGGCGGAUCGAGACCACCCUGGCUAACACAGUGAAGCCCUGUCUCUACUAAAAAUACAAAUAUUUAGCCGGGUCUGGUGGCGGGCGCCUGUAGUCCCAGCUACCCGGGAGGCUGAGGCAGGAGAAUGGCGUGAAGCUGGGAAGCAGAGCUUGCAGUGAGCCGAGAUUGUGCCACUGCACUCCAGCCUGGGUGACAGAGCGAGACUCCGUCAAAAAAAAAAAAAAAAAAUUAAUGGCUGGGCACUGUGGGUCAUGCCUGUAAUCCCAGCAAUUUGGGAGGCUGAGAUGGGAUAACUGCUUGAGGCCAGGAGUUCAAGACCAGCUUGGGCAACAUAAUGAGACCCAUCUCUACAAAAAAUUUAAAAAUAUACAUUAGUUAGGCAUGGUGGCACGCACCUGUAAUUCCAGCUACUCAGGAGGCUGAAGCAAGAGGGUCACGUGAGUCCAGGAGUUCAAGGCUGCAAUGAGCCAUGACUGUGUCACUGCACUCCAGCCUGGAUGACAGAGCAAGACUCUUUUUAAAAAUAGCCAGGCGUGAUGGCUCUCACCUGGAAUCCCAGCAUUUUUGGAGGCUAAGAUGGGCAGAUUGCUUGAGUUCAGCAGUUUGAGGCCAGCCUGGGCAACAUGGCGAAACCCCAACCCUAUAAAAAAAAAAAAAAAUUAGCCAGGUGUGGUGGCACACAUCUGCAGUCCCAGGUACUUGGGAGGCUGAGGUGAGAGAAUCGCUCGAGCUGGGAGGCAGAGGUUGCAGUGAGCUGAGAUCACACCACUGCACUCCAGCCUUGGGUGACGGAAUGAGACCUGUCUCAAAAAACAAAUAAAUAAAUAAAAAUAAUUUAAAAAUCAUUAA
rnacentral:lncRNA from 10 species